rnacentral:lncRNA from 1 species
UCGUUGAUUGCGCUGGUGCUGAGCACUGUGCACGCGCUCAUGUGCACAAAGUGGCCAUAGGACGUGCGCAUAGCAUGCACGUCCCUUUUGCACACACGACGCAGGGUCAGGACCUGCGCACGCGUCCUGUUGUGCGCAGGCGGGCCGUCCUUACGUCACCUCAUACGUAGACAAGCGCUGCACAUUGUGCGUGCGCCAUCCGUGCAGCAGGCCUACGCGGAU